CAGUACCAGAUCAAUGUGUAGGGGUAAUAGAUAUAUACAGGGAGUACCAGAUCAAUGUGUAGGGGUAAUAGAUAUAUACAGGGAGAACCAGAUCAAUGUGGAGGGGUAAUAGAUAUAUACAGGGAGUACCAGAUCAAUAUCAAUGUGUAGGGGUAAUAGAUAUAUACAGGGAGUACCAGAUCAAUGUGUAGGGGUAAUAGAUAUAUACAGGGAGAACCAGAUCAAUGUGUAGGGGUAAUAGAUAUAUACAGGGAGUACCAGAUGAAUGUGGAGGGGUAAUAGAAAGUAUUGAGACUUUAUUCUAAAAUUGAUUAAAUUGUUUUUUUGUCCUCAU
rnacentral:lncRNA from 1 species